CCUACGGGUGGCUGCAGUGGGGAAUAUUGGACAAUGGGCGAAAGCCUGAUCCAGCCAUGCCGCGUGUGUGAAGAAGGCCUUCGGGUUGUAAAGCACUUUCAGUGGGGAAGAAAGCCUUGGGGCUAAUACCCUCGAGGAAGGACAUCACCCACAGAAGAAGCACCGGCUAACUCCGUGCCAGCUGCCGCGGUAAUACGGAGGGUGCGAGCGUUAAUCGGAAUUACUGGGCGUAAAGCGCGCGUAGGCGGUCUGAUAAGCCGGUUGUGAAAGCCCCGGGCUCAACCUGGGAACGGCAUCCGGAACUGUCAGGCUAGAGUGCAGGAGAGGAAGGUAGAAUUCCCGGUGUAGCGGUGAAAUGCGUAGAGAUCGGGAGGAAUACCAGUGGCGAAGGCGGCCUUCUGGACUGACACUGACGCUGAGGUGCGAAAGCGUGGGUAGCAAACAGGAUUAGAUACCCGGGUAGUC
rnacentral:rRNA from 1 species